AUGCACUGGUUUGCAUGGUGGAAAUUAUGUGUCCCAAAGAAGAAGGGUGGCAUGGGGUUUAGGGACCUUCACAGCUUUAAUCUUGCUAUGUUAGCAAAGCAGUGUUGGCGACUUCUCCAAAAUCCUGAUUCUUUAUGUGCACGUGUUCUGAGUGCCAAGUAUUAUCCAAAUGGUGAUAUUCUGAAGGCAGGGCCUAAAGAGGGUUCAUCAUUCACUUGGCAAAGCAUUGUUGCAGGUAUACAGACUUUCAAACGAGGGUGUAUUUGGCGGAUAGGGUCUGGCUCACAUAUUAACAUAUGGGAUGAUCCCUGGAUUCCUUCUAGUGAGUCAAGAAGGAUCAUCACACCUAAGGGAGGAACCAUUCUGUCUAAGGUUGAAGAACUUAUACAUCCACAUAUGGGUCAGUGGGAUGUGGAGCUCCUUCGGGACAAUUUUUUACCCGUGGAUGUUGCAAGAAUCUUACAAAUUCCUUUGCAUGUUGAAGUUGUAGAAGAUUUUGUUGCUUGGCACUUUACAAGGUCUGGUACCUUUUUGGUGUGAUCUGCUUAUCACGUAGAGUUCAACCACCAGUUCGGCCGUCAGUUUGGUCGAUGUGAUACUCCAUGUGGUUCUCGAAUUAACUUAGUGUGGAAACAAUUGACAGCUCUGCUUCGUCGGAAAUUCAAGCAUUUUGGUUGGAAGGUUCUAAAGGGGGUGUUGCCAUGUUUCGGUGUUCUAGCUGGAAGACACAUUCCUAUAAUCCCCCAAUGUCCCUUCUGUAAAAUCGGUUUGGAAGAUAUACAACACUGCAUCUUCACAUGCUGAAGGGCCAUGGAAGUGUGGAAUGAACUUCAGCUGGCAGAUACAAUA
rnacentral:rRNA from 1 species